CCUACGGGAGACAGCAGUGGGGAAUAUUGCACAAUGGGGGAAACCCUGAUGCAGCGACGCCGCGUGAGUGAGGAAGUAUUUCGGUAUGUAAAGCUCUAUCAGCAGGGAAGAAAAUGACGGUACCUGACUAAGAAUCCCCGGCUAACUACGUGCCAGCAUCCGCGGUAAUACGUAGGGGGCAAGCGUUCUCCGGAUUUACUGGGUGUAACGGGAGCGUAGACGGCUAAUCAAGUCAGAAGUGAAAACCCAGGGCUCAACCUUGGGACUGCUUUUGAAACUGAGUAGCUAGAGUGCAGGAGAGGUAAGCGGAAUGCCUAGUGUAGCGGUGAAAUGCGUAGAUAGUAGGAGGAACACCAGUGGCGAAGGCGGCUUACUGGACUGUGACUGACAUUGAUGCUCGAAAGUGUGGGUAUCAAACAGGAUUAGAUACCCGGGUAGUC
rnacentral:rRNA from 1 species